rnacentral:rRNA from 1 species
GAGCUUGCUCUCCUGGGUGACGAGCGGCGGACGGGUGAGUAAUGUCUGGGAAACUGCCUGAUGGAGGGGGAUAACUACUGGAAACGGUAGCUAAUACCGCAUAACGUCGCAAGACCAAAGAGGGGGACCUUCGGGCCUCUUGCCAUCAGAUGUGCCCAGAUGGGAUUAGCUAGUAGGUGGGGUAAUGGCUCACCUAGGCGACGAUCCCUAGCUGGUCUGAGAGGAUGACCAGCCACACUGGAACUGAGACACGGUCCAGACUCCUACGGGAGGCAGCAGUGGGGAAUAUUGCACAAUGGGCGCAAGCCUGAUGCAGCCAUGCCGCGUGUGUGAAGAAGGCCUUCGGGUUGUAAAGCACUUUCAGCGAGGAGGAAGGUGGUGAGCUUAAUACGCUCAUCAAUUGACGUUACUCGCAGAAGAAGCACCGGCUAACUCCGUGCCAGCAGCCGCGGUAAUACGGAGGGUGCAAGCGUAAUCGAAUUACUGGGC